UACAGGGUAAAGUGUACUUCAAAGGGAGAGAUCCAAGAUGAAAUGAGACUCUUCAAAGGCCAGCUCCACUUCCCCUCUCAACAAGACAAAUGACUUCAAAGGAGAACCCACCAAGCAGCAGAAUGACUGUCGUGUGGCUGAACAGAGGUCAAACACACCACUUACAUGCUGUUUAAAAAUUAUUUUUAUUCCCUGCUGGUG
rnacentral:lncRNA from 12 species